UCUGCACUUUUGCUAGGGCAUUCUUCGCCGCCGCCGCCGCUUGUCGUCAACGUGUCCUGCCAUUGCCGCUGGCCGCUACUCGACACGACAACAACACCGUCGACCACUGAUCUGCACUACGCUGUUGACGCACGGGCAUAGGCGGACGGCUCGACGCAGGCGGAUCAAAUAUGGCAUCUGGGGUACCUGCAUACACGGAAGACAAGAACUGGUUCCAGCAGGGAUAUUAUCAUCAUGUUGGUUUGUGCAAUUGUUUCCCCCCGUGAUCAAAAGCUCGAAGUGUAGAUGGAAGAAGAAGAAUCUCUUGACGAAGGAGAGCGCCGGCAUUGGGAUGGAGAGAUUCAAAAGGGAAAACUGAUUCAUCGAACACAACGUCUCGAGAUAUAUAAACUCGGCCUGUGGGAACAUCUAAGCACUUGACUCCUUUGUGCAUAGGGCUAUAGCCCAAAAACACACAUUUUUUUGAACGAAACGCAAGUUUGCGUGUGUUGUAAGGUCUUAGGUUCGGCCAACAUGCACAACCAAAGACUCGUAGAGAUUUGAAAUCUGGUUUUGUUCCAAACAAACGUGUGAUUGGGCUUUCAAAUUUGAUGACUUUACUGGGUUGAAUA